CCGUGCUAUAUUAUCAUUUAAUGUAGGAGCCUGACCGUGCUAUAUAUUAUUUAAUGUGGGAGCCUGACCGUGGUUUAUGUUAUUUCAUGUGGGAGCCUGACCGUGUUAUAUAUUAUUUAAUGUGGAGCCUGACCACGCUCUGUUUUAUUUAAUGUGGGAGCCUGAACGUGUUAUAUAUUAUUUUAAGUGGGAGCCUGACCACGCUAUAUUGUAUCUAAUGUGGGAGCCCUGAACGUGUUAUAUCUUAUUUAAUGUGGGAGCCUGACCAUGCUAUAUAUUAUUUAAUGACUGUGUUAUAUCUUAUUUAAUGUGGCAGCCUGACCACGCUAUAUAUUAUUUAAUGACCGUGUUAUAUCUUAUUUAAUGUGGGAGCCUGACCACGCU